GUCGAGCGAACGGACGAGAAGCUUGCUUCUCAUGAUGUUAGCGGCGGACGGGUGAGUAACACGUGGAUAACCUACCUAUAAGACUGGGAUAACUUCGGGAAACCGGAGCUAAUACCGGAUAAUAUUUUGAACCGCAUGGUUCAAAAGUGAAAGACGGUCUUGCUGUCACUUAUAGAUGGAUCCGCGCUGCAUUAGCUAGUUGGUAAGGUAACGGCUUACCAAGGCAACGAUGCAUAGCCGACCUGAGAGGGUGAUCGGCCACACUGGAACUGAGACACGGUCCAGACUCCUACGGGAGGCAGCAGUAGGGAAUCUUCCGCAAUGGGCGAAAGCCUGACGGAGCAACGCCGCGUGAGUGAUGAAGGUCUUCGGAUCGUAAAACUCUGUUAUUAGGGAAGAACAUAUGUGUAAGUAACUGUGCACAUCUUGACGGUACCUAAUCAGAAAGCCACGGCUAACUACGUGCCAGCAGCCGCGGUAAUACGUAGGUGGCAAGCGUUAUCCGGAAUUAUUGGGCGUAAAGCGCGCGUAGGCGGUUUUUUAAGUCUGAUGUGAAAGCCCACGGCUCAACCGUGGAGGGUCAUUGGAAACUGGAAAACUUGAGUGCAGAAGAGGAAAGUGGAAUUCCAUGUGUAGCGGUGAAAUGCGCAGAGAUAUGGAGGAACACCAGUGGCGAAGGCGACUUUCUGGUCUGUAACUGACGCUGAUGUGCGAAA
rnacentral:rRNA from 1 species